GAGGGAGCUGAGUCUCACAGGUAGGAUAAGCAUCAUUAGUGAACUGGAAAGAAAAUCCUUAGGCAAACCUAAACUAGAAUUGCCUGCCUUGAGGAAGCUAAUACAGAACAGUGACAGGCAAAUCCUAAGGGCACUGUAGUCAAACAUUAGGGGGACCCCUCUGUUCCUUCAGGGUGUAAGUGCAUGCUCUAUUGUCUAGGUUGACUUGUCAGGGCUCAAACUUGCCAGUCCAUGUGCAAUCACGGUUAGAUAUAACCCCUGUAAUCUACCCCACACUAAGUCAAUAUACAUUGAUUUUUAUUAUCCGUGCCAUUAAAAUUGGGCAUUAAAAUUCCACCUGCCCCGCCCCCACUGGAAGUCACAUCACAGAGAUGAAAAGGGUUGGCAUGGUUACUCACUCAGGAAUACUUAGAACAUGAACAUUCCCAUCACACAUGCUUGAGAACACCCACCACCACCACCACCACCACCACCACCAAACAGCCUGGGCUGUUCAGAAAGGCUUUAAGCCUUUGAAAAACCACCAGCCAUUCUGGAUACACUUCACUGUGGAGAGAGCUUGUCUAGAAAAAAAACUAGGGAUUGGAAUUAGAAAUAAAUCUAGGUUAAUAUCCUGGCUUUGCCCUUGAGCAGGGUCCCCGUAAGCAAAUCUGGUGGCAUCUGUUGGUUCCAGCGUAGAGGAGUGCCACUAACACCCGAUUUGCGGAUCUGCCUGUGGGAAGGGGCUGAUCCUGUGAAUGAACUACUUAAUCGAGACAGCACCAAGUCAACUUCCAAAUGCCCAGUGCUCUGCCCCUUCCCUUUCCUGUCAAAUUGCUGUUCCGAUUGCCUGGUGAGAUCCUCUUUCCUCCAUCCCCCAACUGGCACAUCUAAAGGUGAGACUCUUGCUUGGCUAUAUUCUCUGGUCAUAAUAUGCUGCCCGGUCACAAGCCAAAAGCAAUAGGCCCAUUCAUCAGGAUCAUCAACAAUGGAUCGAAUCCUCCAAAACUGUGGACCAAAGUAAACCUCUCUGGAGUGGCAUGCUAUGAUUUUCUACUUGAGUAUUAGGAAUCAGAGCACAAGUCUUCAUGUUUGGGCAUCAAGGACUUUAGCGGCUGAGCCAUCUCAGCAGUCCAGAAAGCCAUUUUACUGGGGCUAACAGGUCAAUGCCUCAAGUUGUUCCUGCCAUCCAGUUUCUGUGUUAAACACUCAAGUCUGCUACAGCCAUGGGAAAACAACCAUGAAGGAGAUAGAAACAAGUGGUGUGACCAUGUUCCAAUAAAACUUUAUUUAUAGA